rnacentral:rRNA from 1 species
AGCUCCAAGAAUACUCGGAGGAGGUGGCCCAGGUCGGCGUCGGCGCCGUCCGGCGCGGGCCACGGGCCCGCUUCCAAGUGCAUCUGCGCGCCGGCCACCCACACCGGGUCCUCCAAGUGCCGCUUCCACCGCACCAACUCCCAGGGCCACGGCCACGGCCAGGGCCAGGGAAGCCGCCCUUCUUCGCCCCCUUCACCAGCCGCAGCCAACGCGGUGCCGCGGCACCCGGCCUCGCUGUCCUUGUCCUCCGGCACCGUCGCGACCCAGUGA